CACCGGCAGCCCAAGUGGUAGCCACGCUUAUUGGGUCUAAAGCGUCCGUAGCCGGCCAGGUAAGUUCUUUGGGAAAUUUAGCCGCUCAACGGUUAAGCUUUCAGGGAAUACUGCUUGGCUUGGGACCGGGAGAGGUCAGAGGUACUUCAAGGGUAGGGGUGAAAUCCGUUAAUCCUUGAGGGACCACCCGUAGCGAAGGCGUCUGACCAGACCGGGUCCGACGGUGAGGGACGAAGGCUAGGGUCGCGAACCGG
rnacentral:rRNA from 1 species